CCUACGGGUGGCAGCAGUGAGGAAUAUUGGUCAAUGGACGGAAGUCUGAACCAGCCAUGCCGCGUGCAGGAAGACGGCUCUAUGAGUUGUAAACUGCUUUUGUACAAGGGUAAACCUGAAUACGUGUAUUCAGCUGAAAGUACUGUACGAAUAAGGAUCGGCUAAAUCCGGGCCAGCCGCCGCGGUAAUACGGAGGAUCCAAGCGUUAUCCGGAUUUAUUGGGUUUAAAGGGUGCGUAGGCGGAUUGAUAAGUUAGAGGUGAAAUGUCCGAGCUUAACUCGGGAACUGCCUCUAAUACUGUUGAUCUAGAGAGUAGAUGCGGUAGGCGGAAUGUAUGGUGUAGCGGUGAAAGGCUUAGAGAUCAUACAGAACACCGAUUGCGAAGGCAGCUUUCCAAUCUAUAUCUGACGUUGAGGCACGAAAGCGUGGGGAGCAAACAGGAUUAGAUACCCGAGUAGUC
rnacentral:rRNA from 1 species